AUUUUGAAACUGCUAACGCCUUGGCAAAGACUAUGAGUUAAGUAUUUGAAAACUUAAGGGAUUUAUUAAUUAGGUAUGAGUUUUUAGAUAUUUUUGACAUAGUUCAGUUCUCAGCACUUUAUGGUUGGUCAAGUAUCUCAAGUUCAUCUGCUUUACCAAAACGAUCUAGGAGUGAAGUCACCAUGGUUGUGAGAGACACCAAAGUGACAGCAUUUCUAGGCAGUAUCUGUCACCUUAGUGUUUUCACGCUUCUCGUGCUUUUAUUUAUAAGGUAAUGUCAUCAGAGAGUCUUUCUGCCACUCUCCAAGGAAACACUUGCAUUUUUGUGCACAGAUAAGGUGAAGUGGUGAGGUUGCGUUUUAGUUCAAGACAUACAGCUGGGAAAGGGCUGGGAUCCAUGAGCUGGUGCCUAUCAGUGGUAUAGCUGUAAUUGUGGCUGAGCGUGCUAAGCACUUAACUGGGAUCCAGGCACUGUUCACAGGACCUUGCAAAUACUCAUUCACUUAAACCCCAAGGUGCCCUCUGAGGAAGGUGCUAUUGCUAUGCCCAUACUACCAAUAAAAGUCUUUUUUUUAUGAAGUCGGAGACUAGAGUUCUGUUGAAUGUUGAAGGACAUUCCUUGAAAUGUCAGGGGAGCUAGGCAAAAUCACUCUGUCCAGAGGAAUUUAAAAAGUCAGCACAUAAUUAACCCCAGAGUAGACUAUAUCUAAACCACCCUGGAAGGCUUUCUAGAGCUCCCCAUUACCUGCCCAUGUCCUGGCUGGCCCAGGUAUUCAAUCACUUGCUCAGAAUCCUUCGUACCUGAGCCUCUGUCUUCCCUACUGGUGAUUCAAGCCCAUUUCCUGGGCUCUGCUGGCCACAGGAAUAGAAGGCAAAUGUGCAAAUGUUUUUUGUUUUUCUUGAUGGAAACUUGCCACCCUGUUAUCCAUUUCUCUUGUGUUUUGGAUAAUAUAAGUACUUACAUUUUGUUCGUUGAAUAUGCUGAUGGAAGUUUUCUUCCAGUCUAGAUACAUUCAACCCCCAAGUGUCAGAGGCAUGUUCUGUAUCUAAAUAUAGCACCUAAUCUCCAUUGUCAGAUUUGUCUCAUGAGGAAGAAUGCCUGUUGUCACUCCUUCUGGGGAAUAAUGCCAAGCAGCUGUUGGAGCAACGUUGUCCUUAA
rnacentral:lncRNA from 1 species